rnacentral:rRNA from 1 species
GACGAACGCUGGCGGCGUGCCUAACACAUGCAAGUCGAGCGGCGCGGGGGACGGGGGGUUAAUGCCUAGGAAUUUGCCUGGUGGUGGGGGAUAAAGUCCGGAGACGGGCGCUAAUAACGCACAAUAUCAGAUCGGUCUCGGUGGGAUUAGCUAGUUGGUGGGGUAAAGGCCUACCAAGGCGACGAUCCGUAACUGGUCUGAGAGGAUGAUCAGUCACACUGGAACUGAGACACGGUCCAGACUCCUACGGGAGGCAGCAGUGGGGAAUAUUGGACAAUGGGCGAAAGCCUGAUCCAGCCAUGCCGCGUGUGUGAAGAAGGUCUUCGGAUUGUAAAGCACUUUAAGUUGGGAGGCGUUACCAACAGAAUAAGCACCGGCUAACUUCGUGCCAGCAGCCGCGGUAAUUC